GCUCUCCUCCUCUCGCAGUUCCUGAUUUUUUUGGCGUCGUCGGACACCAUGUUCGCAGACAGCAACGACGAUGUUUUCGGCAGGUGAUUAAGUUCAUAAUCCAUCAAUAGAGCUUGCAGGUCGACGAAUAUCAUCUGGUGAUCAAACUUCGACGUGAGGGAUGUUGUCAGUGAUUCAUACUCGCCUCUAAGCCCCCCAAUCACAUUGAGAGUGAUUUCAGAUUCUUUCAAGGUUUCCCCAACCCCAAUUAAUUCAUCCAGUAACCUCCUCACUUGCGCUAAAUACUCUUCCAUUGAUUUGUUUCCUUUUUUAACAGUAAGAAAUUGACGACGUAAGAACAAGAUGCGUGUUGCGGAGCCGGAGGAAA
rnacentral:lncRNA from 1 species